rnacentral:rRNA from 1 species
AUUGAACGCUGGCGGCAGGCCUAACACAUGCAAGUCGAACGAGAGGCGGACGGGUGAGCAAUGUAUGGGAAAGUGCCUGAGGGAGGGGGAUAACGAGUGGAAACGUUAGCUAAUAACGCUUACGAUCGGAUCGGCCCUUUUGGUAUUAGGUAGUAGGUGGGGUAAAGGCUUACCAAGGCGACGAUCCUGAGCGGGUCGGAGAGGAUGAACAGCCACACUGGAACUGAGACACGGUCCAGACUCCUACGGGAGGCAGCAGUGGGGAAUAUUGGACAAUGGGCGCAAGCCUGAUGCAGCCAUGCCGCGUGUGUGAAGAAGGCCUUCGGGUUGUAAAGUUCUUUCGUCAGGGAGGCGUUACCCGCAGAAUAAGCACCGGCUAACUCCGUGCCAGCCGCCGCGGUAAUUC